rnacentral:rRNA from 1 species
UACGGAGGGGGCUAGCGUUAUUCGGAAUUACUGGGCGUAAAGCGCACGUAGGCGGACCGGAAAGUCAGAGGUGAAAUCCCAGGGCUCAACCUUGGAACUGCCUUUGAAACUCCUGGUCUUGAGGUCGAGAAAGGUGAGUGGAAUUCCGAGUGUAGAGGUGAAAUUCGUAGAUAUUCGGAAGAACACCAAUGGCGAAAACAGCUCACUAGCUCGAUACUGGCGCUGAGGUGCGAAAGCGUGGGGAGCAAACAGG